rnacentral:rRNA from 2 species
UAGACGACGCUGGCGGCGUGCCUAAUACAUGCAAGUCGAACGAACUCUGGUAUUGAUUGGUGCUUGCAUCAUGAUUUACAUUUGAGUGAGUGGCGAACUGGUGAGUAACACGUGGGAAACCUGCCCAGAAGCGGGGGAUAACACCUGGAAACAGAUGCUAAUACCGCAUAACAACUUGGACCGCAUGGUCCGAGUUUGAAAGAUGGCUUCGGCUAUCACUUUUGGAUGGUCCCGCGGCGUAUUAGCUAGAUGGUGGGGUAACGGCUCACCAUGGCAAUGAUACGUAGCCGACCUGAGAGGGUAAUCGGCCACAUUGGGACUGAGACACGGCCCAAACUCCUACGGGAGGCAGCAGUAGGGAAUCUUCCACAAUGGACGAAAGUCUGAUGGAGCAACGCCGCGUGAGUGAAGAAGGGUUUCGGGCUCGUAAAACUUCUGUUGUUAAAGAAGAACAUAUCUGAGAGUAACUGUUCAGGUAUUGACGGUAUUUAAACCAGAAAGCCACGGCUAACUACGUGCCAGCAGCCGCGGUAAUACGUAGGUGGCAAGCGUUGUCCGGGAUUUAUUGGGCGUAAAGCGAGCGCAGGCGGUUUUUUAAGUCUGAUGUGAAAGCCUUUCGGCUCAACCGAAGAAGUGCAUCGGAAACUGGGAAACUUGAGUGCAGAAGAGGACAGUGGAACUCCAUGUGUAGCGGUGAAAUGCGUAGAUAUAUGGAAGAACACCAGUGGCGAAGGCGGCUGUCUGGUCUGUAACUGACGCUGAGGCUCGAAAGUAUGGGUAGCAAACAGGAUUAGAUACCCUGGUAGUCCAUACCGUAAACGAUGAAUGCUAAGUGUUGGGAGGGUUUCCGCUCCUUCAGUGCUGCAGCUAACGCAUUAAGCAUUCCCGCCUGGGGAGUACGGCCGCAAGGCUGAAACUCAAAAGGAAUUGACGGGGGCCCGCACAAGCGGUGGAGCAUGUGGUUUAAUUCGAAGCUACGCGAAGAACCUUACCAGGUCUUGACAUACUAUGCAAAUCUAAGAGAUUAGACGUUCCCUUCGGGGACAUGGAUACAGGUGGUGCAUGGUUGUCGUCAGCUCGUGUCGUGAGAUGUUGGGUUAAGUCCCGCAACGAGCGCAACCCUUAUUAUCAGUUGCCAGCAUUAAGUUGGGCACUCUGGUGAGACUGCCGGUGACAAACCGGAGGAAGGUGGGGAUGACGUCAAAUCAUCAUGCCCCUUAUGACCUGGGCUACACACGUGCUACAAUGGAUGGUACAACGAGUUGCGAACUCGCGAGAGUAAGCUAAUCUCUUAAAGCCAUUCUCAGUUCGGAUUGUAGGCUGCAACUCGCCUACAUGAAGUCGGAAUCGCUAGUAAUCGCGGAUCAGCAUGCCGCGGUGAAUACGUUCCCGGGCCUUGUACACACCGCCCGUCACACCAUGAGAGUUUGUAACACCCAAAGUCGGUGGGGUAACCUUUUAGGAACCAGCCGCCUAAGGUGGGACAGAUGAUUAGGGGAAGUCGA